AUUGUCUUCAUGGAAAUUGUACUUCUUAUUCCCCUGUUUUGGGUAAUGAGAAGGUACUUUCUAAACUGAUUUUGGGGAAGAGGCAUAUUCCUUCUUGGGGUUCAACAUGAAAGUGGGUUCCUGGUUGGAGAACGCCAUCAAAUGGCCCCAUUCACGUGCCACUCCCACUUGGAGAAACACAACUCUCUGUAGUUAAUAUUAAUUCCUUUCUGCCCAGUCUUGCAGUGGUUGCAAACUCAGUUCGUUUUAUCAAUUUCUUAUCAGCACUCAGAGAGGUUCUGGUCAUUUAAGAAAACCACAGGAAAGAAAAGGUUUCACUUGAGACAAUUUGAUGCAUUUGCUUAAUUUGAUUUUGUGAACUCUGAGAAGACGAUUAUUCUAUUUUAGUGUCAAGAGUAGAUUCCUUCUGCAAAAGAGCCUGGUUUGAGGACCACUGAGGCAACCUACUACAUUUUCUGAGCUACUUAACUAUAGAAGAACAGAGGUCACAUAUAAUUCAUCCUGGGGUCUCUAAUAUGCCUUGCAAAAAUAAAACAGUUGGUAAAUAUUUAGGGACUUACAAUUGAGAAAAACAAGCAGGUUUCAGAUUUCAAAUAGCAUUAGGCAAAUGAAUCAAA